rnacentral:rRNA from 1 species
GAUGAACGCUGGCGGCGUGCCUAAUACAUGCAAGUCGAGCGAACAGACGAGGAGCUUGCUCCUCUGACGUUAGCGGCGGACGGGUGAGUAACACGUGGAUAACCUACCUAUAAGACUGGGAUAACUUCGGGAAACCGGAGAUAAUACCGGAUAAUAUAUUGAACCGCAUGGUUCAAUAGUGAAAGACGGCUUUGCUGUCACUUAUAGAUGGAUCCGCGCCGCAUUAGCUAGUUGGUAAGGUAACGGCUUACCAAGGCGACGAUGCGUAGCCGACCUGAGAGGGUGAUCGGCCACACUGGAACUGAGACACGGUCCAGACUCCUACGGGAGGCAGCAGUAGGGAAUCUUGCGCAAUGGGCGAAAGCCUGACGGAGCAACGCCGCGUGAGUGAUGAAGGUCUUCGGAUCGUAAAACUCUGUUAUUAGGGAAGAAAAAAUGUGUAAUUAACUAUGGACGUCUUGACGGUACCUAAACAAAAAGCCACGGCUAACUUCGUG